rnacentral:rRNA from 2 species
UGUGAAGUAAACAGUCGUAACAAGGUCUCCGUUGGUGAACCAGCGGAGGGAUCAUUACCGAGUUUACAACUCCCAAACCCCUGUGAACAUACCUUAAUGUUGCCUCGGCGGAUCAGCCCGCGCCCCGUAAAACGGGACGGCCCGCCAGAGGACCCAAACUCUAAUGUUUCUUAUUGUAACUUCUGAGUAAAACAAACAAAUAAAUCAAAACUUUCAACAACGGAUCUCUUGGUUCUGGCAUCGAUGAAGAACGCAGCAAAAUGCGAUAAGUAAUGUGAAUUGCAGAAUUCAGUGAAUCAUCGAAUCUUUGAACGCACAUUGCGCCCGCUGGUAUUCCGGCGGGCAUGCCUGUUCGAGCGUCAUUUCAACCCUCAAGCCCCCGGGUUUGGUGUUGGGGAUCGGCUCUGCCCUUCUGGGCGGUGCCGCCCCCGAAAUACAUUGGCGGUCUCGCUGCAGCCUCCAUUGCGUAGUAGCUAACACCUCGCAACUGGAACGCGGCGCGGCCAUGCCGUAAAACCCCAACUUCUGAAUGUGACCUCGGAUCAGGUAGAAUCCCCCGAAUU